UUUGAGGGAAGAUGCGUGGCAAGGCAGGCUCUACUCGUGGCAGACGGUACUUCCCUGGAGUUCCUCUUUAACAUACAAUCCAGGGUGCAAUGCAGUCUCCGGGUGCAACGGUUGUACGACAAUUGCCAGCUGAUUGCGAUCUUUCACCCGAGGGAGAGAGAGAGAAAAAAAAAAUUAGCGACGCAGCCCGCAAUCAGCGUGUCUCAGAAGCGGCCGUCGCGGCCAGGUCUGCUGUAUCGACCUAAUACUCGGUGCUUCACCGGCACCUCGUAAAAUACGACGUUCGAUAAAAUUUCCCUUGAACAGCUUCGAAAUUUAUUCGGGCUCGGAGGCUCGAGCCUCGUGACGAGCAAUUAAACGCAAAAACGAGAGAGGAUUCCCUCCAGUCGAGGGGGGGAUGAUGGGAUCGCCGAACAAGAUCGAUGAAAGUUACUUGUCUUUCAGCUAGAGUGUAUCAGUUUCAACGCUGGAAAAUCUGUACGCGAAACAGGAUCCACCGGCUCGAACCUGGGUCACUGGAAUUCGAACUCCAACAAUCCCGAACAUGCAAAUUACCGUUCGAGCGAGGUUGCAAGAUUGGAAGCUGAAAAACUUUGAAGAAAUUUUACUGGUGUCUGGUAUCUUCAGGAAUGCAAGGAGAAAGGAUUUAAAAAAAAGGAAGCCCCAUGGGCAAUAAGCAUUGUUUCCUAUGGAAGGCUAUUUACCGCGAGGCAAGAAAUUUAAUACAACUCGUUGGAGCUGUUGAAACCGAGGUAGCUCGGUGCAUACGCUCCUCUGUCACUGUCGUCGACGCGACGAGGAGAGGAAAGCGGAGGAGAAAAAUUUCGACGUCUGCGUGCGAGGGUUCGACAGCCUGAGAACGAGCAGAAGGAGCCAGGACUCGUCGCACACUGGCACAGAAUCAAUUUUCCAUGGCGAAUCUAUAUUUUAGUUUUCACCAAGAGUUACCGGCACCUUUUUUCUUCCACGGAAUGAAACUAUGCGGAGGAGAGGCGAUAAAAAAUCCAUUCAUGAAUUGAAAUAACCUGUUGCAUUAAUUAAAAAAGGAGAUCCAAAAAAAUAUUCAACCAGUUGAAACAGGGUUAGAAUCAAUAAACUCAUUGAGCUUUCAAAGGUGUGUCAGCAACGGUACCCGGUUCGAAGAAAUCAUCGAAAGCCAUAGCGAGAGAAAAAGAAGUGGAAAAAUCGACUUUGGUCCGGUAGAAAAAUUGAUUCAGCGUCGUCUGGAGGAGCCCGAGGGCCGUGGCGAGUACGCGAAAAGAAGAGCCCGCGGGGGCGCGUGUGCGCACUACCCUCGACCAACAUGUCCGCCCGGCUGCUCCGGGUAGUCGUGGUUAUGCGGCGCGGUGCGUUGCACACCGUGGUCACGCGAAUGCUCGGUUACCGUGUUACGUUGUACCCCGGGACGCGUGUCACGUCGUGGCUGGCUCGGUCCAGUCGUUGAGGGAUCGUUUACCGAGGCUCCCCUUGUACCGAUACCAGGGCUCAUCUGGUGUCUCGCGUUCGGCCAAGUGCACGAGGCGGCACAGCCUCUGGAGAGACUGGAACUACGACGGAUAGGGACGUACAGAGUGGCCGUGGGAGUGCGGUACCGCGGGAGAGACAGAGACAGGACGGAGGAGUAGUGAGCGUGCGGGACAGAGAGGGAGAAGCUUGAGGCAGGCGCGCGUAUUGAUUCCCGCGUGGCGUUAUACGGUGAGGUGAGAAAGCUGCAACCGGAAGACUCCGUGGCCGCUUCCUUCUUGGCCGCUGAAAAAUCCUACGAGACAACCUCGGCCAACGCGAGGAACGGAUUACACCGGGACUACUGGGCCGCCUCCGUCCGUUCGCCGGUGAAAGGAGAGUGGGGAGAGGGUGAUCCGUGAACCAGAAUGAGAGAAGCCAUCGAGAUCAGCUCGAGCAGGGACCCGUCGGCCCUUCGCACGAGAAAUGAUUUUUAGAAGGAAGAGGGCAUGACGCACCGAACUCAUGCAGUGGCGAAAACACGUGCGCAUCAAGUACGGUGGUCGAGUCGGUGUCGGUCAAGGGCAGCGGGAGCGGGAGCAGGUGCAGCUGCAGGUGCGCGUGGUGCAGCUGCAGCGGGAAGGGGGCGCACGACUCAGCUACGUCUGUCAUCAGCCUCAACUCUCGUCGACGGCUCGCCGUGGUUGCAGUGCAGCAACCAUGCUCUGCUGCGGCCGCAGAAAAGAGGGCCGGGGGGAAGUGACAGACAUCAGCGCAAGUCCUGGAAGGCAAGCACCUGCCAACCAGUUGCGCCCCAAGGAGCCACCCCCCAUGGUUAUUCAGGGAGACUUCAGGAAGGACCUGUCGUUGCAGGUGAGCGGGAUCAGUACGGAGAUCUUCAAGCAGAUCGAGACCGUCGAAAACGAUCAUGACGCCUCGACAGCAGCGGCCCUUGAAGCUGUCGAACGAAGGGGCGAGAUGGUCGUCCGGGUCAUCGAGCCACGGCAAAUGGGCAGACAGGCGUCCGAGGCAGCGAAGAAGUUCAUUGCGAUGCAGGAUCCGAAGCACCCCAUCCACUUCGUUGAAAUAAUUAAAAGGCCAGGGCAAACGCUGGGGCUCUACAUACGCGAAGGGAACGGGGUCGACAGGAACGAUGGCGUCUUUAUCUCGAGGAUAGCCCUGGAGACCGCUGUCUACAACAGCGGUUGCCUUAAGGUUGGGGACGAGAUCCUUGCGGUGAAUCUGGUAGAUGUGACUCACAUGAGCUUGGACGACGUGGUGAUCAUCAUGUCGAUACCCAGGAGGCUCGUUCUGGCGACGAGGCACGGCCAGCAUCAGCCGGUGUCCCACAGCCGUCAGGCCGAGCACAAAGCACCGCCGGUCGUAGUGAUCAAAAGGGAGCUGAACGAGGACGAGAGUGAUCAUGCAACGAGCAAUCACGUCAGGGAUGGUAAUCGUAGACGCGGUGACGGUCGUGAAAUGCUGCCUUCCCGGUCGAGACUGGGUCUAACGGGCCUAGGUUCCAGUCAGGAUCUAGGAUCUAGCAACGGUGACCUAUACUAUAAUUCCAGACCGGAAGGACACUGGUCCUACCAACCACCGCCGCCUCCUGUGAUCACACAUCAGCCAAAACCCUCUACAACUCAACAUUUCCAGCCCUAUGAGCGUGGAUAUCCAAAGACCUUGGAGAGUUUGGCUGAAAAAGAUUUCACAAAGGUACACUCCUUCUACACGGGGCCAGUAAUGCCCUCGAACGGUGGCCGUCGAAUGUCCACGGGCGCAGGAAUGCAGUCGGUUGGCAGUAGAUUGUCCAGUCAAACCCAGUCGUCGCAUUAUGGUAGUUACGGUCAGCACACAGGCAGUGGAAGAAUAAUGCCUAGAAGCGGUUCGGAUCAGCAUUUGCCUCGAGUCGACUACACCAGCAUCACUACACCUGCUCGACACACUCUUCUUAGAUCCAGCUUGAAGUCGGGAACAUCAGCGUUGAGAUACAACACCAGAUAUGGCACCCAAGGGGACAGUACAACGUCGGCCCAAAGGCAAGGUCAGUUUGGCACCCUGACAAGGAGGCACCGACCCUCGUUGGACUACGCGUCCGACACCGAGGCAACGUGUUCCAGUUCGCCGAAGUCUGCGUACUAUUACUACAGGCACAACAUGAAUAAUCCAUCUCAGAGCAGUGCUGUGUCGCACCUUGCCACCCUCUCCAGGUCGCAAAUUGGUCAGAGUUCCUCCGGUCUGAGAUCAAAUUCGUUGCCUCGCAGUGGCAGAACGUUGCCUCAGCAACCUGGUCUUAGAUCUGGACUUAGUACGGUAGCAUCAGGACUGAUAGAUCAGGAAGACAGCGAUGGAGCACUGUCAGCACCUGAAUUACCUUCCAUCAGACGUGACAGAGGAAGAAUACCGUCAUCACCCAGUGUGUUCACGUCGGACGAAUACAGAGCAUGGCUGAGUAGAACGCCAAGCACCAGUGCGUUGUACGAACAGAUCAGAGCUACUACGGCUAGACCACCGCGUUACACUUAUAGCGCAGAAAAUAUUCAUGCAGCUGCGAAUCAAGGUGAAUAUGGAAGUUACGGCGGGUACAGGCCACUCUCCAGCACGCUCGAUCGUCUCUCGACGAGGUCAGCCUCGGCUCAACAAGUGAACCUAGCCAAUCUGAGAGCAUCGACAGCGAUCAGUUCAACGUGCCAUCGUGGAACGACGAAUCCAAGACCGGCCUCGGUUGCGUCGAGUGCUCGUACAUCGUUGACGAGUCAAAAGCCAUCGUUGAGUAGCUCAGCCACCCAGAGGGCGACCUCGGUUAGGAGAAUCAGGAACUUACUGGACCUAGAGUCCACGAGAAGCAUACCCACCCCAACGCCUACCAGAACUCAGGAUCAAAGACUGCUAGAUAUUAAUCCUGCAGAGUUCCUCAAAUAUAAAAUAGAAAAACCGCCAACUGUAGGGACUCCGAGCUCGACCAGCUCUCUCUUGAGUUCCCUCGGGGAAACGAGUAGCGGUGACCUGGCUGGUGGUAUCAGUGGAUUGCUAUGGGUCCAUCUUCUGGCUGGACGUGGUCUUCGUUCGACGACGUCCUCUUCGGCAGCUACCACGCCCUCGACACCAUCAGGUCAGCCUAAUUUAGCUAGCUGUGGCUUAAGAGACUUGUAUUGCGUGCUGGAGUGCGACAGGGUGCACAAAGCAAGAACAGUGGUGCGAACCGGUGACCUGAUGUUCGACUGGGACGAGACCUUCGAGCUGGACCUCGUUGGCAACCGGCAACUGGACCUGCUCGUCUAUUCCUGGGAUCCUCAGUACAGGCAUAAACUUUGUUACAAGGGCUCGGUGCAUCUAGCGAGCCUCCUGAAGGAAUCGCCUCUUCAACAGCUGGCUGUCAAGGUCGAGCCACGUGGCACGAUCUACUUAAGACUGCGAUACAUUGAUGCUCAGCAAACGUUCCGAAGGAGAGGACUUCCAGUCAUAUCUUUGGCCACCAGAGUUGCACCUCUCUUUGGAGUUGAUCUUGACACAGUGGUGAGCCGAGAGAGUAAAACUGGCGGAGUUCCUGGAGGUGUUUCCACCGCCCUAGCGAUGGGUGUUCCAAAUGUACCUAUAAUUGUCUGGCGCUGCGUCGAGGAAGUUGAAAGAAGAGGUCUCGAUAUCAUCGGUUUGUACAGGCUUUGUGGAUCAGCGACCAAGAAGAGGAUACUUAGAGAAGCCUUUGAAAGGAAUGCUCGUUCAGUGAAUCUGUCACCUGAUAAUGUACCAGAUAUCAACGUUAUUACUGGUGUGCUGAAGGAUUACCUGCGAGAACUUCCAGAACCACUUUUCACAAAGUGCCUCUACCAAAUGAUGGUCGAUGCACUGGCCGUCUGUUUACCAGAUGAUCCACAAGGCAGCGCCAAACUCAUGUUCAGUAUACUCGACUGUUUGCCAAAAGUGAACAGGUGCACAUUAAUUUACUUGUUGGACCACUUGGCAAUGGUGGUGUCGCAGUGCAACAAAAUGUCACCAGCAAGUCUGGCAGUCUGUUUCGGGCCAGUUUUGAUGUUACAUUCCGAGGAGAAUGGGCCACCGUUAGACUUCCAACAGCCAAUAGCUGUACUCAAGUAUCUCCUUGAAAUAUGGCCCGUUAAGUCAGUUCGGAAGAUUUCUUCAGUCGCUUCAGCGCUUCCUCGAGUUACGCAACAAGCAGAGCACAACAACAGUCAACACCAAAUGCAGCAGCAUCAGCAGCAGCAACAGCAGCAGCAACAGGUGCCGCAUCAAAUGCAGGGAACAUUGGGACGAACAGGGCUGCCCUGGCAGCAGCAACACUCACUUCAUCAACAGCCCCCAACUUCAACAGCCGCGGUUCUCGCGGCCUCCACUCGUCCUCCACCACCGGUCAAGCCUCGACAGGUGAUAGUCUCGUCUCCCGGUUCACCUAGCAGCGAGGAGUCGGAAGCCUCGCCGGAGCCAAUUAACAAGAGCCUCAUGGGUGGCCUGGGACUCGAGAAAGGCAACGAAGGGGUCACGACCAACUCGGCUGGCCCUGGAACAGAACAAAUCACUCCGUCAAGCAGCGUCGACACCGAGGAGGGAAAUACACCGCAUCAGGAAGAAGGCGAGAAAGGCGUGGAGGGCGACGCUGAAGCCAGCGACGACGAUCGACACCAGCACGUACCCAAGACGCAUUAGAAUCUUCUUCAAAUACACGAGGAUCAAGUCGGGGGUGCGCGUCCUGAAUAGUUUGAAUGUCUCGCUUUCCAUUCAUCGUUUGAACAACCUUUCGAUACUUUUCAAGGGUCAAACUUCGUUUUAGAGGAGCAAAAAUUAACGGUUCCAAAAUAUGUAGUCUUGUAGUUUUUGACCUGAAACAUUCAAAAAUGCAAGUUAAACAUGGUUUUAAAAAUACAAUUGUGGAAAAAUGUACGUAUUUAGUGAUGUUUGACAGGUCAGUACGACGCCAUAUUGUUUCUACGCAUUCUCUGAUUGGUUCGCUGAAAUGACUAACUUCCGCUUACUUUAUUUAAAAACAUAUUUCUUCUUGAUUGCUGCUAUCAAAAAAACCCAUAAGAUGUGUUUCGUUAAUUUUACGAAACCUACGCCACAAAAAUUCACAUAGGCGAUCGGCAAAGUCUUCGUCGUGAAAGCGACUCCGAAUUUCGAUUUCGAAUUUAUGCGCGAACCAAUCUGAAGAUCGCUAGAAGCAAUAUGGCGUCGUACUAACCUGUCAAAGUACGCGAAAUACACUUUUCACACAAUUGUAUUUUUUAAACAAUUGGUUUCCUGGACUUUUAACUUGCAUUUUCGAAUGUUUCAGGUCGAAAACUAUAUUUGAUACUUUCAUGUGUACCGAAGAAGAUUUGAUACUUUUUAUUCAACAAUUUUUGGUUCCCUAAGACGAAGUGCAGCCUUUCCUAUGAUUGAUGCUUCAGUUUUGCCCAACGCUGAUGACACUGAAUACAGACACGUUUUACACGAUUAUUAAUGAGAAUUUGAAGCUUGUUAAAAUAGGAGAGGAUUUUGUUAUUCGCAAAUGAUUCAAGGAAGGAAGAAUGAACGUAAGUUCUUAAAACAUUGUUCACCGAUCAGAACUGUGUUGAUUUUCAAUUCUACUUUUCAAAUUUACAACAACAAAGCUUUUCUUUGUUUUGAACAAAUCCUUGAAUGGUGAACAAAUGCGUUAAGAAUUUCUCUUUCAUUUUAAUUCAACAUUCUUGUGGUGUGUUGACAAAAGCUAAAGACAAGAAGAGAUGUUCUUCUUUUUGAUUUUCCAAAGAUAUUUAAACGCGUUGACUGCAAUGAUUUGGAAGUUUAAUACAUGCUGUUCUUGGAACAGCAAACUAUACCAAAGACUUAAGUCUGAUAUAUACUAUAUUCAACAUUAUCGAGUCAAGUGAUUUCUUCUUUGAGAAUAUUAGUGCAUUGUUGGCUGUGUUAGGGAAUUUUCUUUGUUGUACGAUGUGUUGUGUUUGGAAAUAUUUAUACGUGUUUUUUCUGGCAGUCAGCGCAUCAAGUUACAUGUAUGCUCUUCUAAAAGGAUACGUUCAAACGAUAACGAACGUGCAACUAUGAUAAAUCAAGGCUGAAUUUUGUCGCCAGACGCACAAUAAAAGCGACCAUUGUUUUCCAAACGUGGAACGAUACGCAUAAUGGGACCACUGCGAAUAUUCGUUAAAAAAUCUUCGCGAUUAAAGAAUAUCUAACGCUGAAAUUGACGAUCUGACGACCGACUGGAAGCCUUUUACAUGUUCUUCAUAAAAAUUCAUUUGAUAAUCAUUCAACGGUGAGAUAUCUGUCGAGUAACACACCAAAGAAAACUGCUAACUAACGUUACAGUGAUGUUCAUGGAAGGAUUUCACUCUUUGGCUGCAAAGUACGUUGUCUUUUCACAGUUAUCAUAACUGUAAUCGAUGAACAGGUUCCUAAUUUAUAAAAGUUUGCACAAAAUUCCAUUAUUAUAUAUAUGAAUCUUCUUUCGAAGAAGAAAAACUGAGUUACUGCUCUAAAAGAGAACACAAUUCUUUCUUUCCACAGCUGAAGAGUUCGUUAUCCCGCCAAAGCUUCUCUCAGAAGACCAGCAUUGAUUGGAGUGAUACGAUUGAAGAGCAGAAACUGAAGAAACAGAAAGGAACGUACAGGGA